AUAGCAGGAGAAAUAUCGGAGCGAGCAGCAUCGAUUAAAAAUAGGUAAAAAUCGUUCGGACGAGGCUCGGCUAGCUGAAAUGCGAUUGUCGAAUCGGACUCGACGUAGGACCGCAAAGGGUUAAAUCGCGGGGCAUUGACUCGUCCCGAAGAUGAAAGAUAAGGUGGCCAGGACGGUGACAAUCGGCUCGCAUAGAUUCCCAUAGAUUAUCGUAGAACGUAUGCGAGCCUUGGGUGCGUGGUCGCACACGGUAUCACCGCGGACACUCACCCGAAAUCAUCGUCCAUCGAUUUGAAGAAAUACUUGUAAUUCGGCCGAUUCAAGACAUUUUUGAAGUCUGCCAGAGUGACCCUUUCCGGUGAUAUGGUGAGCUUGACCAGGUACGGGGUCUCCUCGUCGUCGAUGUGAUAGAUGAUCUUCGUCUCUUCCAUCGUCUCGGAAUCCUGUUAUUACGCGUGCAUUUGCGAACCGGGGGGGAAAAAAAACUGAUCGCACCGAAGGCCCCACUAACUAUGAAACAAUUCUCUUGAACCAAUAUGGCGCGUCACAGUUCGAGCCAAAGCCCUCGCGCGUACGACGACCGUUCGUUCAUGUAGCCCGUUUCUAGAGCUUACGCGAGUCCGGCCGCGUGCAACAUUAUCGAGAACCCGUGCAGCCAGUUACGAGGAAGCCGUUGACAUUAUUCGAGACAGUUCCACGCGAGUUGUACACGGUGCAACCGACGAGCUGAAUUAAACGUCAACAUUCUCGCCGACAUUACACACACUCGCGGCGGAUCGCCCGAUGUACUCGACGGUACGCUCGAGAAUUCGAAGCGAACGGAGAUAGAAAGACGAGCCACGGAAUGAUUUUUACACCCCGCCAGCCAUUCGGCGGAUCUUUCGACAGAUGGCGUCGAAGCACCGCUCUUCAAUAUGGCGACCGGUUCGAAAACUUACCUACGGCCACGAACCUAAUGCAGAUUGAAAUCACCGACGUCGCACAAGUGUGAUAUUUCAACGACCUACGAAGAUUUAUGUAAUUCCGAAAUUGAAUGAAACUAACAAAUGUCCAAGUUAUCCCCUAAUUUGAAAGCAGUAUCUCAGUGACCCGGAGUAAUGCCUUCGGAUAAGAUAAAUGUGUCUGAAGUGAACUCUCAGUAAAAAACACUGUUGCGUCGAAAAGUUGCAGGCAGUGCAUUUCCGGUUUAUUUUUCUUCAUUCUUUCGGCAUUACGGUUCCGAAUUAUCGACUUUAUGGAAUGUGCACAGAUUUAACUUAGAUCUGUGGAAAGUGCUCUAGUACGAUAACGGACUCUAUUUAGAUGUAACGGUCAGCUAGUGAAUUACGCUAGACUGCAACAAGGAAAAUGCGUACUCGAGGAUGUAUGUUAGGGUUAGAAUAUAAGAAACGAUUAGAAUGAUGGCCUAUCAAGUAAAUUGUUUGCAAUGUAUGUACAUUCUUUGAACUUUGUUUGAAACUCAUAUUUCUUGUAUGGUGGCAGAGUAAAGCGAAUACGAAAACCGCGCCAAUAGCACCCCCUAUGACAGCUGCGCAGUGGUUUGUUGCGCAGUAGUCUCGAAAAGACCGUUAUGCUGGCGCCACUGUCUCCGUAAUCCGAACUUCGUAGUUGAAAAAUCGCGCUUCUCCAGAACUUCAAGAUUUGUUAGAUAUUGGUUUGUUAAAGUAAUUCUGUAUCGUUUAAACAUAGUAGAAAGUGUAAUUAAUACGAGUAGAUCCUAGCGUGUCAUUUAUUUUCGCGAGACUCCUGUUAAUUCCAGAGAAAAGUGAGUUCGAAAUUUUGCUCCCUACGACUUCAACUUCCGCCAUGCUUCGUUCGAUUUUAGAAAUAAUGGAACUCCUUCCGUGCAUUACUAACAAUAUUACGAAGGAUCUUUCGCAGCCAACCUCAACAUAGCGAGACUCGGACAAUCGGUGUUACCUUCGAUUUUGAAAAUCUUACCAACCGAAGAUCACAUCGAGCUGAUAGUUGCAAACUCGUGAGCAUAUUAUUAUACAAUUCAAAUUGAAAUACGUUUGCUUUAGGAAUAGGAAUUUGUGGGGGGCAUUAAGUAUAUUUCAGAAAGAAUAUUUGAAGUUUCAGAAGAACCAAAUAUAUGUACAAUUGUUUUAUAGCGACAUCUACAAUUUAUCCAUAGUUUAAGAAAGCUACUUUUCAGUAAUGUAGUCAAAUCUACUCAAAGGGGAGCAAAGAUCGAUCGACCAGAGAAAUAAAUAAAUAAAUUUUAUUUUCGUGAAUGUGGCAAAAAUACAUAUUAUACAAUCUCGUCAA